rnacentral:rRNA from 1 species
GUUUAGUGGCGAACGGGUGAGUAACGCGUGAGGAACCUGCCUUUCAGUGGGGGACAACAGUUGGAAACGACUGCUAAUACCGCAUAAUGUAUUUAGGGGGCAUCCCCCGAAUACCAARGCUUUAUGUGCUGAAAGAUGGCCUCGCGUCUGAUUAGCUAGUUGGUGAGGUAACGGCUCACCAAGGCGACGAUCAGUAGCCGGUCUGAGAGGAUGAACGGCCACAUUGGGACUGAGAUACGGCCCAGACUCCUACGGGAGGCAGCAGUGGGGAAUAUUGGGCAAUGGGGGAAACCCUGACCCAGCAACGCCGCGUGAAGGAAGAGGGCUUUCGGGUUGUAAACUUCUUUUACCAGGAACGAAGGACGUGACGGUACCUGGAGAAAAAGCAACGGCUAACUACGUGCCAGCAGCCGCGGUAAUACGUAGGUUGCAAGCGUUGUCCGGAUUUACUGGGUGUAAAGGGCGUGUAGGCGGAGAUGCAAGUUGGGAGUGAAAUCCCGGGGCUCAACCCCGGAACUGCUUUCAAAACUGCAUCCCUUGAGUAUCGGAGAGGCAAGCGGAAUUCCUAGUGUAGCGGUGAAAUGCGUAGAUAUUAGGAGGAACACCAGUGGCGAAGGCGGCUUGCUGGACGACAACUGACGCUGAGGCGCGAAAGCGUGGGGAGCAAACAGGAUUAGAUACCCUGGUAGUCCACGCUGUAAACGAUGAAUACUAGGUGUGGGAGGACUGACCCCUUCCGUGCCGCAGUUAACACAAUAAGUAUUCCACCUGG